ACGUGAGCAUGAGAUGGAGCAGGCUCCCCCUGGGCCCCGCGCGGAGGCGGAGAGUCCACCAGAGAUGAGGAGGCCGCACCCAGACGACUUUGAGAUUGGGCGUGGAGAGGCCGGGCCGAUGGCAGGAGGCCAAGAUUAAGGACAAAAACGACACUGAAAACGGGAGGAAGCUACGGGGCACCGUGACGAGCCCUCGACGGCAUGAAGCGGUAUGUGAGACUGACCACGUGGCUUAUAGGAUUCUGUGACGAGAGGGGCAUGAACGCACAGCAGUGGGAGCAGGAGAGCGGGCAAUCUCAAACGGGAUUUGGAUUUUUCUAAACGGGCUCCCUGAAUCACAUAAGAUGAAGAUGCACUUUAAAGGGAUACGGACAUUGCCUUGAGAUUAUGUAAGGCUAGGUGAAUAGCGAUGACUCAGAAGGAACUACGCUCUCCAUCAUUUCGGAAAAAUUUCUGGCUGUUGAAUAUAAUCAGGGUGCUGCGUGCAGUGAUUGGAAUGGACCCCCACCAGCCAGGAUGCCUCACCAGUCGCCCGACCCGUUGGAACGGACUGAAGCAGCAGAAUAAAUCCACAGAAGACGGCUACAUCAAGGUCGCAGAUCACUCUCUGAGGCAGGAAAAUAAAUUGCUGCUCCAGAGGCUAGAGAGCUAGACGGAAAGCCACUCACUUUGAUCCUGGAUGCUACAGAAAGGGCAGUGAGCGGAACAUGUUUCAAUUCAAUCGAAAGAUGCUUCCUCCGCCAGCACGUACAGUCCAGCCUCAAGCAGAGUGCUUAGAAAAGUCCUCUUACUCCAUCUAAACGGAGCCUGUGUAUCUCUGCAGCACUGAAAAAAAGGCCAAAGGGCAAAAACCUG